rnacentral:tRNA from 1 species
GCGGGUGUAGCUCAGCUGGUAGAGCACGAGCUUCCCAAGCUUGAGGUCGCGGGUUCGAACCCCGUCGCCCGCUCCA